rnacentral:rRNA from 1 species
UACAGAGGGUGCAAACGUUGUUCGGAAUUACUGGGCGUAAAGCGUGUGUAGGCGGUCUCAUAAGUCGGAUGUGAAAGCCCCGAGCUUAACUCGGGAAGUGCACAAGAAACUGUUGAAUUUGAGUUCCGGAGAGGAAGGCAGAAUUCCCGGUGUAGCGGUGAAAUGCGUAGAUAUCGGGAGGAAUACCAGUGGCGAAGGCGGCUGUCUGGGCCAGUUCUGACGCUGAGGCGCGAAAGCGUGGGUAGCAAACAGG